rnacentral:lncRNA from 1 species
CAGUUAUAAUUCUGCAGAGUGUGGCCACUGCUUCUCCCAUCCUCCUUUCCCAAGGACGGUGGGGAUUGCUAUAGGGCUGGUAGGUAGUUUACCGUCCCUUCUAUAGGCAUAGAUUUGGCACUGACAUCACAGCUUCAUAACCCCCACCACGGCCAGCUUCCCCUGCCUGUUAUCCUAGAUCCAGUCUGUUCUUGUUCAUUGAGAAUCCUGUGUUCCCACUUCAGUGACACCUGAAUUUUUUUUUAAUUGUCUUCAAGGAGGCCUCAUCUGGUUGUGUACCUAGUCAAAUCCCCAUGAUAUCUCAGUAGAAGAAAGAAGGAGGAUCUUAAAACUUCAGGGAAGAAAUAAUUUCUUCAACGAAGACGAUAUAAGGUUGACACCAGAACUCUCAUGAGAAAACUGUAAACCAGAAGACAAUAACUUAACAACUUAUCCGUGUUAUACUAUUCUAAUAUGUACAAGAGUAAAAAUAAGAUUGGCAGCUGCGGGGAGAUGCGUGCAAAAGAGCAUCAGUGAGAGGGCCAUAUAUACACAGGGCAGAAGAGAACUAAUUAUGCCAAAGAAAUGUUCUUCCCUAUGGACUUGACACAAUAAUGGAGCCUCUGAUUUCUUUCAAAAAGUAACAAGCUGAAGAGGUUUAGUAGAAGCCAUUUUUAUUAGAAGGCUUGAAGGAAUUACAGUGUUUUGGACAAGGAACACAAAGAAAAUUGAAACUAAGUUUUGUAUAUUUCAAUUUAAAGUCUGCUUUAACAGGUAAAGUAGGGUAAAGUAGUGGAAAUUUGAUAAUACGCAAAAAUGUUUCUAUAUUUUGCAGAAAGAAACCUGGAGAAAUUGUAAUAGGAUGUAAAAGUAUGUAUAUAAUUUAGAAUUAACAGGAAAAAAAAAACUCAGUGCCUUAAAGAAGGAGCUGAUUUCAUUUACAUCACAUAGGAUAAACUAAUAGAAUUUUAAUAUUAAUACCUUCAGUACAGUGAAUUAAUCUCAGGAUAACCGUUUAAAUGUUUAGCUAGUUCAUUUUAAAAUAGAAGGUGUAGUACUUUACUUACUGUAUAGCCUAGAGAUUGCACAUAGAGAUGAAGGAUUAUGAUAUUAAAUCUAGAAACACAUGUCUUUAUGUUUGGGGGCAACCUAAGUGUAUAUGUAUAAGGUGACAAUGUGUGUAUGAUUAUGACUAUUUAUUAACCAUCACUAUGAAAAUGUAAAAUGUAGUGAAAGUAUUUGUAUAACUUAACUGAACCACUAUGAGUUUUUUGUUUUAUUUUGUUUUUUCAAGACAUGCUCUUCCUGUGUCAUCCAGGCUGGAGUGCAGCGGUGCAAUCACGGCUCACUGCAGCCUUGAACUCCCAGGUUCAAGUGAUCCUCCCACCUUAGCCUCCUGUGUAGCUAGGACUACAGGCAUGCAUCACCAUGCCCCAUGCCACCACGGUUACCACACCUUGCUAAUUUUUGUAUUUUUUGUAGAGACGGGAUUUUGUUAGGCACACCCAGGCUGAUCUGGAACUCUUGGGCUGAAGCCCACAUCCUCUUAUAGUGCUGGGAUUACAGGUGUGACCCACUGUUCCUGACCACCUCUAUGAAUUCCUAAAUAUACUAUAUGAAUUACGCUAUUUUCCUUUGUCUGUAUUCACAAGUGACAUUCACCUGAUGAUUUACAUAUUUUAUUUUGCGUAUAUUUUCUUUUCUUUGUUCACAAAGAAUAUAGAAAUGACAAUACGUGUUAAGUAGGUCCCAUUUCUUCAUUCCAUUGUGUUUGAUGUUUUAGUAUCAUUGGUAACAUUGUUUUUUUGUCAGAACAUUCUUGACUAUACAAGAGUCGAUCAUUUAAAGCUACUUUCAUUAUAAUCUUCUAAAGUACUCUUAGGAGAUAAUCAGGAAAAAACAUACAGAUAAAUAUAUAGAUAUGUUGCGGGAAAUCAGGGAUUCUGAACAGAGGGACCUGCUGAAGCUGUGACAGAAUAACAUAAAUUGUGAAGAUUUCAUGGACAUUUAUUCAUUCCCCAAAUUAAUACUUUUAUAAUUUCUUAUACCUGUCUUUACUACAAUCUCUGAACAUAAAUUGUGAAGAUUCCAUGGACAUUUAUCACUUCCCCAAUCAAUACUCUUGUGAUUUCCUAUGUCUGUCUUUAAUCUAUUAAUCCCAUCAUCUUCAUAAGCUGAGGAUGUAUGUCGCCUCAGGACCCUGUGAUGAUUGUGUUAACUGCACAAAUUGUUCAUAAAGCAUGUGUGUUUAAACAAUAUGAAAUCUGGGCACCUUGAAAAAAGAACAGGAUAACAGCGAUGUUCAGGGAAAAAGGGAGAUAACCAUUGGGCCUGACUGCCUGAGGUGCCAGGUGGAACAGAGUCAUAUUUCUCUUCUUACAAAAGCGAAUAGGAGAAAUAUCGCUGAAUUCUUUUUCUCAGCAAGGAACAGCCCUGAGAAAGAAUGCAUUCCCAGAGGGAGGUCUCUAAAAUGGCCACUCUAGGAAUGUCUGUCUUAUACGGUUGUAAACAAGGGAUGAAACAAGCCCCAGUCUACCGUAGGGCCCCCAGGCCUAUAGGAUCAGGAAAUUCCUGCCUAGUAAAUUUUAGUCAGACCGGUUGUCUGCUCUCAAACCCUGUCACCUGAUAAGAUGUUAUCAAUGACAAUGCGUGCCCAGUGGGACAUGAAAGUUAAUUAGCAAUUUUAAUUUCAUCCUGGUCCCAUGAUCUCGCUCUGCCCCCAUUUGCCUUGUGAUAUUUUAUUGCCUUGUGAAGCAUACAACCUCUGUGACCCACACCCUAUUCAUACACUCCCUCCUUUUCAAAUCCAUAAUAAAAACUUGCUGGUUUUGUGGCUUGGGGGCAUCACGGAACCUGCUGACAUAUGAUGUCUCCCUUGGACACCCAGCUUUAAAAUUUCUCUGUUUUGUAUUCUUUCCCUUUAUUUCUCAGACCAACCGACACUCAGGGAAAAUAGAAAAGAACCCACGUUGAAAUAUCGGGGGCUGGUUCCCCCGAUAUAGAUAUAUUUUUAAAAUCGAAGAGACAUUAUAAUGUUAUUUUAUUGUAUCUCUUAUUGAAUGGGACUUUCCUUUCUUUCUUUCUUUCUUUCUCCCUCUCUCUGUCUCUACUUCUUCCUUCCUUCCUAGCUUCUUUCCUUCCUUGCUUCCUUUCUUUGUUUUCUUCCUUCUUUGGAUAUUGCUGUGAACACAGCGUAUAGACAAAGUAAAAUCCUCUCUGCUAAAAUCAUGUGUUUAUGCACAUAAUAGGCUAACACUAUGGAUAUGCAAUCUACCAUUUGAAAAUAGUUCAUUCCAGACUAAUCUCACUUUAUUCACGAUUGUUAUAUCUUGACAUAUGUCCCCCCAAAACUUCAUAUGUUGAAUUGUAUUCCAAAACGUCAGACUUUGACUGUCUUUGGACAUAGGACCUUUAAAGAGGUCAUUAAUUUAAAAUGUCUUUAGAAUAGACCCUAAUCCAGUAUGAUUUAUCAGAAAAGGCAAUUAGGAUACACAGUGGGUCAACCUAUGUGAGGACACAACUAGAAGGAGGCCAUCCUCAAGCCAAGGAAAGGGGCCACAGAAGAACUUAGCUUGCCAAUGCCAACACCUUGAUCUUAAACUUCCAGGCUUCCGUAAUUGUGAGGAAGUAUUUUUACGUUGUUUAAACUACCCAGUCUGUGUUAUUUUGUUACAGCAGACCUAGUAAACUAAAACAACAACUUAGAUGCUUGUGCGUUUAAAGGUUGUAACUUUAACAUGCUUUCUUUUUGUUCAUUCACUCUCAUGUAUGUGUCUGCAUUCUCUUAGGUUAACUUUUUCACAUGUAUGACUUUGAGUACAAUCUUAUUGCUGCUGAUGCCGACCAAACCUUAGCCUCUAAUAAUUUAGACUCAUAUAAAACUGAUUAAUGGAUAUAUAAUUUAUUGUUGCAUGGGUUUCACAAACUCAGGAUGUCCCAAAUGAAUUCUUCAUUUUUUCUACAAUUCUGUUCAUGUGCUCGCAUACUUUCUACAGCAGUAAGUGGUGGGAUAUUCUAGUAAGUAGACCAAAUAUGGGAAUCUAUAAUUUCUGUGGCAAGUGCAUAGUCUAUUAAUUACUAUAAUGUGAUCUUGUCCAGUUGCACAAGUCCCCCAAUUAUAAUUGUCUCCCAUUAUUUUAUAUUUAGUCUUGAAAUUUCACUUAUAAAUAAAAGAAUUAGUUUUUCAAAUUUAAUAUAAACAAGAAACCAAUACCAAACUAAACAAGCACAAAACAAAUAAAAACGAUUAUAAUAUUUAUUAGGAUUGCCUGGAAUGUAAACAUAAAUAUGAGUAUAGUUAAUAUCUAAAUGAUAUUGAGACUUCAUAGUAGCCAUGAAAUUUUUAUAUAUUUUAAAUUAUUCAGGUGUUAUUUUCUUUCAGUAUAGUUUUAUAAUUCUCUGGAUACCUUUCUUAAAUUUAUUAUUGAAUUUAUGCCUAUGCAUUUUAUAUUUUUAUUAAAAUUAUAAGUGACAUCCUCUAUUAAAGAAUAUUUUCUAAAUGACUAUUGCUGGUUUAUAUAAAUGUAAUUUAUUUUUGCAUUUAAUUUAUAUUUAAUGUAGGUAUUUUGAGUUUUCUUUGUAGGAGAUAAUAUAAACUGCCAAUAUUCAUGCUUUUUCUUAUUAAACACUUUAUACCCAUUAUUGAUUUUUCAUUAUGUACUCCACAAUAUCUUUUAUUACAAAGUUGUUGUUAUCUUUUCUAUUGUUCAGGUUUUAAUGAAAUUCUUAGUAUUUUACUGUGAUGUUUACUGAAGGUUUUUGUAAAUACCCUUCAUUACGUUAAGUAAGUUUUCUUCUUUGAUAUGUGGUAAGAAUUUUUAUUAUGAAAGCAUUUUAAUUUGUUCAAAGCUAUUUUCUGCUUCUAUCAACAUGACAUUAUGCUAUUACUUUUCCUUAAUUAUUAACAUGGUGAAUAUAUUUUAUUAAUUCUGUAAUAUCAAACUUUACAUCCUUAUAAGUAAUGUAAAACAGGAUGUUUGAUUUAUUGAUAUUAGGUUAACUGCUUUUUUUUAACCUGAUAAUUUAAGUACUUUUAAAAUCAUUUGUUAAACCUCAAGAGAAAUGUAUCAAGAUUUCAUUGUUCUCAUAGUUAUUUAAAGAUUAGUAGCCCUCUUAAGUUCUCUGGAAAAUUACUAUACAAUUCUAGUAUAUAUUUUUAAAACUGCUUCUCAUCUUGAAGCAAUAAAGCAUUUGAGAAAAACACUAGAAUCAAGUUCUAUCAUCUCCAAUUAGAAUCUUUGUAGUUUUAGGAACAAUUUUUCUGCCUCAGUUUUCUCAUCUACAAAAUAAGGAUAAAAUAUUACUUAUAUACAUUGUUGUUUUGAGAAUAAAAUAAUGUACUAUAAUAGUGUAUUUUAUAACUGUACAUAAAUAAAUGAAAUGCUAUUGUUACAUAUAAUUACUAUCUUGUGUAAUUAAGUUCUGGUGUAUUUCAG